CCUACGGGUGGCAGCAGUGAGGAAUAUUGGUCAAUGGGCGCGAGCCUGAACCAGCCAAGUAGCGUGCAGGAUGACUGCCCUACGGGUUGUAAACUUCUUUUAUAAAGGAAUAAAGUGAGACACGUGUGCCUUUUUGAAGGUACUUUAUGAAUAAGGAUCGGCUAACUCCGUGCCAGCAGCCGCGGUAAUACGGAGGAUCCGAGCGUUAUCCGGAUAUAUUGGGUUUAAAGGGAGCGUAGAUGGGUUGUUAAGUUAGUUGUGAAAGGUAGCGGCUCAAUCGUACAAUUGCAUUUGAUACUGUGAGUCUUGAGUACAGGUGAGGUAGGCGGAAUUCGUG
rnacentral:rRNA from 1 species